rnacentral:ncRNA from 1 species
ACAGAAUGAGAGAGGCCUGUGCUAAAUGUCUAUUUUCCCAAACCACGGAGAAAACAGGAAUUUCAAAAAUGGAUCAAACUACAAUCUCAAGGCCGAGGUAUUAGUAACUUCGAAGGGGACAAGAUCAGUAAUAAUUGGAUUGGCAACAACAGAAGCAUCCCCCAAAGGAAAAUAAUAACCGCCCUACAACUCAGGGCAAAUGUUUACCCCACAAGAGAAUUCUUGGCUAGGGGCAGGCAAGAUAACUUUAACAAAACCUGCAGACAUUGCAAUUCGGAAAUAGAAUCCACCGCCCAUAUCAUUGGCUUCUGCCCAUCAGUGCAGGAAGCCAGGAUUAAAAGACACAAUUAUGUCUGCGAAAUUCUUAUAGAGGAGGCUAGAAAAUGUGAUUGGCUCGUUUUCCAAGAACCACUAAUCAGAGAUGAGUGCAAUGAACUAUUUAAACCCGAUUUGGUUUUUGUAAAAGAUCAAACAGCACGGGUGGUGGAUGUCACAAUCAGAUUUGAAAACAAAUUGGCUACUCUUAAAGAGGCAGCUGAGGAAAAAGUCAACAAAUACAAACAUCUCGAACACCAAAUUAAGGAACUUACUAAUGCCUCCAUAGUAAAAUUCUCAGGUUUCCCUUUGGGGUCGAGAGGAAAAUGGUUUGAGGGCAACUUUGAGUUACUUACCGAGCUAGGCCUCUCCGCUUCCCAACGUGAGAAAGUUGCAAGACGGCUAUCAAACAAGGAGCUCUUUACAUCUGUGGACAUAAUACACAUGUUUGUAAACUCGGCCAAAAGGCCUAGAGAUCCCAAGGAAUGAACUGUUAGUAUUAAGGUUUUCCCUUUAUGUUAUUUUGCCCAGUAUACUGUACUACCCUGUUUUUAAAUACCUUUGAAUGUUUUGCAGUGUACCUCUAUUUUAAAUAUGUAUUGUAGAUCCUUUAAUCCCCUUGCUCUUUAUUGUAAAAUGUUUUAUUUCCCAAUCAAUAAAUCCACCCGACUGUGAUGGCCAAGCAACACCCGACGGCUGUGAGAGUAGCGAUACAGAAUCUCGUUCCGGAUCCAUAUGUCGUGUCAUUUAAAGUUCUGAUUGGACAAGUAAUAACCGGACUUGCCACAGGUGGACGGGCCACCUUUACUUAACCCGGAAAAGAGACAGUCUCGUCUGUCUUAGUAAUAGUCAAAAGCCUCGUCAUCUAAUUAGUGACGCGCAUGAAUGGAUGAACGAGAUUCCCACUGUCCCUACCUACUAUCCAGCAAAACCACAGCCAAGGGAACGGACUUGACGGAAUCAGGGGGGAAAGAAGAGUUGUUGAGCUGUUGAGCUUGACUCUAGUCUGGCGCUGUGAAGAGACAUGAGAGGUGUAGAAUAAGUGGGAGGCCAGGCACGCGCUCGGCCAGUCGGUGUCCCGGUCGUCGGUGAAAUACCACUACUCUGAGAAUCAGUCCUCGACACAAGCUUUUGUCUCU